UAGCCCAUCCAAUAAUUAAACAAUAUAAAUAAACAAAGUAAGCCUAACACCAAAAACUAAACCAUUCUUUUACCUGAGUAUGGGAGACAGAAAAGGUCCCACCAAAGCAAUAGAAAUAGUACCGCAAGGGAAAGCUGAAAGAGAAAUGAAAUAACCCAUAUAAGCACAAAAAAGCAAAGAUUAAACCUUGUACCUUUUGCAUCAUGAUUUAGCCAGUACACCCAAGCAAAGAGACCUUUAGUUUGAAACCCCGAAACCAGGUGAGCUACCCCGAGACAGCCUAUUAAGGGCCAACCCGUCUCUGUGGCAAAAGAGUGGGAAGAGCUCCGGGUAGAAGUGACAGACCUACCGAACCUGGUGAUAGCUGGUUGCCUAAGAGAUGAAUAGAAGUUCAGCCUCGUACUCCCCAAAUCAAAGCACAAACAAGACAUUGAGAGAAACACACGAGAGUUAGUUAAAGGGGGUACAGCCCCUUUAACAAAGGACACAACCUUUCCAGGAGGAUAAAGAUCAUAAUACACAAAACACACCGUUCUAGUGGGCCUAAAAGCAGCCACCUAAACAGAAAGCGUUAAAGCUCAGACAGAAAAAAGUUUAUUAUCCUGACAAAAAAUCUUACUCCCCUAACUACUAUUAAGCCAACCCAUGCCUACAUGGAAGAGACUAUGCUAAAAUGAGUAACAAGAAGGCCCGCCCUUCUCCAAGCACAAGUGUAAGCCAAACCGGACCAACCAUUGGCAACUAACGAACUCAACCCCAGAGAGCAAUGUGAACUACAAAAAGACCAAGAAAAACCCACAACUUAACUAUCGUUACCCCCACACUGGAGUGCCAUUUAAAGGAAAGACUAAAAGAAAGGGAAGGAACUCGGCAAACACAAGCCUCGCCUGUUUACCAAAAACAUCGCCUCCUGCAACACAGCCAAGUAUAGGAGGUCCAGCCUGCCCAGUGACCACAAGUUUAACGGCCGCGGUAUCCUGACCGUGCAAAGGUAGCGCAAUCACUUGUCUUUUAAAUAGAGACCUGUAUGAAUGGCCAAACGAGGGCUUAACUGUCUCCCCUUUCAAGUCAGUGAAAUUGAUCUACCCGUGCAGAAGCGG
rnacentral:rRNA from 1 species